GUUUGCUUCUACAGCACAUACACUAAAAAAAAUUGGAAUGAUACAGAGAUUAGUGUGGUCCUGGCAUAAGGAUAACACGCAGAUUUACCAAACAUUCCAUAUAAAA
rnacentral:snRNA from 1 species